rnacentral:rRNA from 1 species
GGGAGGCAGCAGUAAGGAAUAUUGCUCAAUGGGAGAAAUCCUGAAGCAGCAACGCCGCGUGGAGGAUGAAGGGCUUUCAGCUUGUAAACUCCUGUAAAGAAGGAAAAAAUUCCCAUUAGAUGGGAAAUGAUGGUACUUCUAAAGUAAGCCCCGGCUAACUACGUGCCAGCAGCCGCGGUAAUACGUAGGGGGCAAGCGUUGUCCGGAUUUACUGGGUGUAAAGGGUGCUCAGGCGGAUUUGUAAGUCAGAGGUGAAAUCUCACAGCUUAACUGUGAAACUGCCUUUGAUACUGCAAGUCUAGAGUAUGGAAGAGAGUGAUGGAAUGUCUGGUGUAGCAGUGAAAUGCGUAGAUAUCAGAUAGAACACCAAUGGCGAAGGCAGUCACUUGGUCCAUUACUGACGCUAAAGCACGAAAGCGUGGGUAGCAAACAGGAUUAGAUACCCUGGUAGUCCACGCCCUAAACGAUGAAUACUAGAUGUUGGGCCCGAAUGGGUUCAGUAUCUGAGCUAACGCAUUAAGUAUUCCACCUGGGAAGUACGAUCGCAAGGUUGAAACUCAAAGGAAUUGACGGGGGCCCGCACAAGCAGUGGAGCAUG